GAGCGCUCUCUUGCCGGACGUUGCGCUGCCGCGACGGCCGACGCCAACAGCGCCGAGGCGCUCUAGGCUCCGCGCUACGAGUGGUACCUGGCACGAACCACGAGGCCCCAGUCUGUUCAUCGCAGGUCGAGGUCGCCCCGCUUGCACCGCCGACUGGACCCCUCUUGGAUGUGGGAGCGGCGGACCAUAGCUAUGUUUUUUCUCAACGGUGCCCCAGGCGUUGGGCCUCGCUGCCGCGGGCGGACGAUUCUUAGACUCUGCAAGUAAAGAUAACCUGGUGUUCCCAGUAUAUCAUGGCUUCAUCUUCAAGCGGCCUCUCUACUGGGAGAAGUACCAGCUCAAAGCUGAAGUCUGUGAAGUUACUUGAGGUUUUGAAUGCUCUGGAAGAGGAGAAAUCUCACAGUAGGGAAGAGAUCUUCAUUGCACCGCCCAAAAAUGCUGCAGGGGACUUCACUGAUGAAGACUCAGGUGAUGAAGAUAGCCAGCGAGGAACCCACGUGCCCGGUAAUGUGUUGCAUGCUUUUGUGGUCCCUGAGGACUCUGGCACCGCAGAGGAGGAGGAGGAUGACCUGCAACUGCAGCCAGCCACGAAGAAACGGAAGGCAGUAGUGGAACCUCAACGUGUUUGGACCAAAAGAGAUAUCCGCCCGGACUUCAGCAGUUGGACAGCAACAGAUCCUCAUAUGGAAGAUCUCAAAAGCCAGGAACUGAGUCCUGUAGGUCUCUUUGAACUGUUUUUUGAUGAAGGAACAAUUAAUUUUAUUGUUAAUGAAACCAAUCGUUAUGCUAGGCAGAAAAAUGUCAACCUGGGUCUCACAGCCCAGGAAUUGAAGUGUGUCUUGGGCAUUUUGAUUUUAAGUGGGUAUAUCUCUUAUCCAAGGAGAAGGAUGUUUUGGGAAACAUCUCCUGACUCACAUCAUCAUCUUGUGGCUGAUGCAAUUCGAAGGGACAGAUUUGAACUGAUCUUCUCAUACCUGCAUUUUGCAGAUAACAAUGAGCUUGAUGAAAGUGAUAGGUUUGCCAAGGUCAGGCCUCUCAUCGUACGCAUGAACUACAAUUUCCGGAAGCAUGCACCCUUGGAAGAGUUCUAUAGCUUUGGCGAAUCCAUGUGUGAAUACUUUGGACACCGGGGGUCUAAGCAGCUGCCUGCGGGGAAGCCUGUGCGGCUGGGCUACAAGAUCUGGUGUGGGACAACGAGCAGGGGCUAUCUGGUGUGGUUCGAGCCCUCCCAGGGCACACUGUUCACUAAGCCAGACAGGGGCCUGGACCUGGGAGGCAGUAUGGUGGUGAAAUUUGUGGAUGCACUUCAGACGCGUGGCUGUCUGCCAUACCACAUAUUUUUUGACAAGGUUUUUACAAGUGUCAAAUUGAUGUCCAUUUUAAGGAAGAAAGGAGUGAAGGCCACAGGAACUGUUCGUGAGUACAGAACUGAGCGUUGUCCCCUUAAAGAUCCCAAAGAACUGAAGAAAAUGAAGAGGGGUUCGUUUGAUUACAAAGUUGACGAGAGUGAGGAGAUCAUUGUGUGCCGCUGGCACGAUAGCAGUGUGGUCAACAUCUGCUCCAAUGCUGUGGGCAUAGAGCCGGUGGGGCUGACCAGCCAUCACUCGGGAGCAGCCAAGAUGCAGACCCAGGUUCAUCAGCCUUCCCUGCUGAGACUGUACCAGGAGAAGGUGGGGGGUGUUGGCCGUAUGGACCAGAACAUCGCCAAGUACAAGGUGAAGAUCCGGGGCAUGAAGUGGUACUCAAGUUUCAUUGGCUAUGUUAUUGAUGCAGCUCUUAACAAUGCUUGGCAGCUGCAUAGGAUGUGCUGCCACGAUGCCCAGGUGGACCUCCUGGCCUUCCGAAGAUAUGUGGCCUGUGUGUACUUAGAGAGCAAUGCAGACACGUCAUCCCAGGGGAGGAGAAGCCGGCGGCUGGAAACUGAGAGCCGCUUCGACAUGAUUGGGCACUGGAUCAUCCACCAGGACAAGAGGACCCGCUGCGCCCUGUGCCACUCACAGACCAACACCCGCUGCGAGAAGUGCCAGAAGGGCGUCCACGCCAAGUGCUUCAGGGCAUACCACAUCCGGUACUCUUUACCUGUUGGCACUGCCCACUGAUUUUCCAAAAACCAAGUUGGCCUCUGUCUUCAGCUUCUCAGCCUCCAUCCUCUGUGCACAACUGAUGUCCUAUGGCCGCUCAACAAGGAGUGGAGUGGAGCUGGCUUUGGAUUGAAGGUGCAUCACUGAGAUUGUUUGCAGCUAAAAGGAAAACUCUGCCCUCUAUCUGGUGGACUGAAACCGCCCCAUCAACUUUUUUAGUGAACAUAGAACUUCUUUGUUUCUGAGACUGUAUGCAAGAGGGUUCAGGAGAGGGGUAAGGACAGUCCCAAAGAGAAAGAGACCCUUGUUCAACUUUGGAGUCUUGGCAGAACCAGGCCUCAUGUAGAUGCACAUACCUGGACCAAAAUAGAGACCCACCACACAGAGAUGAGAGGAGCAAGUGGCCAGAGUCUUGUUCCUGCCUUCUGGGGAGUUCAUUCAGAGUACAGCAAGGAAGAUGAGAACAUAGGAGGACAAGAUGAGAGAUAAGGGCAGCAGCAGGACUAGGAUGCUGGUCACCACUACAGCCUUCUCAUAGGUUGAGAUGCCCUCACAGACAAUCCUAAGAACAGCCAUGACUUCACAGAAGAAGUGAGGAAUCUCUCUGGGGCUGCAGAUGUGAAAAUGUAAGGUGAAAGCAGUGUGGCCAAAGGAAGUAAGGGCACCUCCAGCCCAAGCCAUGGCAGCCAUCUGCCAGCACAUCCUAGGACUCAUGAUGACAGGGUACCGCAGGGGAUUGCAGAUAGCCACAUAGCGAUCAAAACACAUGACAGUUAUAAGGAUGCAUUCUCCAAUGGCUACUGUCAGCGAGAAAAAUAUUUUGAGUCCCACAAGCCAAGAAUGAGAUGCUUUGCCAUCCAGAGAAGAAGUUGGCCACCAUCUUCGGUAUGAUGCUAGAGGUCAAAGUCAAAUCCAUUAAGGAGAGCUGACUGAGCAGGAAGUACAUGGGGGUAUGGAGCCAGGAAUCCAACCAAAUGAGGAGGACCAGAAGAGUGUUGCCAAUGAAGGCAGCCAUGUAGAUAA